rnacentral:misc_RNA from 1 species
UUAUAAUAAACAAAUGUAGGAAUGCUAUUAGCUCUCUUGAGAAAGCUGAGAAGGAAAUUGGUGUCAAUAUUAAUUCAGGUAAUUUAUGUCUAAUCAUUUAUGCCUUUGUUGAAAUUCCUAAUAAAAAUGUACUUUUUGUUUGCAUGUUAAGACAAAAUUUAUCUCUGGUGAGGCUCUAACUACUUAGUGGGCAAGUGGUUUUAGAUGUGAAGAUAAAGAGCGAAGUGAAGACGAAAAAGAGAUUUAUGCAAUAUAGAACUCAAUGGUAGAACCUAAAAGGCACACACCAAAUAACUUUUUAAGGGGAAGCUAUUGAUAGGUGUAUGGAAUUUAUAUGAUAACGUUGAUACUGCAUGCAACGCGAUGGCGAGUUGCAUUAAGAAAGUAGCAAUGGCAAAAUAUGAGAGGUUUUUGAGAAAUAUAAGUUGGCAAGGAGAGAAGCUAAGAAAGUGGUUAGCUAGGCUCAUGGUAAAUCUUUAGUCAAUUUUUACAAUAGUAGAUGUUCAAGCUAUCACGGCUGAAGGAAAAAAUGGAUAGAGAUCUGAAUCAGGUCAAGUGCAUUAAAAAUAAUAAUCAACAAAUUUUAUCUAGAGAUAGUGAGAUCAGAAAGAGAUGGAGAUGCUAUUUUAAUCAUUAAGCGAAUCAUGAGGAUGACUUUACAGACCUUAAUGUUCCUUUUAAAGAACACCUUAACUACGCUCAUAAAAUCAGGUUUGUUAAAGUGACUAUAAAGAAUAUGAAGAUGUGGAGAGUUUGUGGCUCAGAUGAUAUCCUUAUAAAAGUAAAAAAAUAUAGAAGUGUAAUAAGUUAGUGAUGGAAUUAGUGGGAAGGGAAAGAGGAACUAAAAUGAUGUGGAAAGAAAUAGUAUGAAAAAUUUAUAAUUUUUGAAUAUUGAUG